rnacentral:lncRNA from 1 species
UCCCCACGUGCAUCCUGCUCACUUCCAUUGCUGGGGCCCCGGGACCUGUACUGUGCACAUCUGCUCUGCUCUGCUCACAGCGCACCCCAUGGGCCAUAAGAUUUCACUCUUAAAAGGAAACAGAUGUCUAACAAAAGUGAGUUAAAGCUGAGCUACAGUGCAAAAAAUAGCACUUAGCACAGCAAAGGGAACAUUGGAAACAGAAGGAAGAGGAGAGGAAAAAGGAUGAUGAGGAGUGGAAAAUGAAGGAAAAGGAGUUGAGAAAGAAGGAAGAGGAGUUGAAAAAGA